GCGGUGAAAUGCGUAGAUAUCAGGAGGAACACCGAUGGCGAAGGCAGGUCUCUGGGCUGACACUGACGCUCAUGCACGAAAGCGUGGGGAGCAAACAGGAUUAGAUACCCUGGUAGUCCACGCCCUAAACGAUGUCGACUGGUUGUUGGGGGUUUGACACUCUCAGUAACGAAGCUAACGCGUGAAGUCGACCGCCUGGGGAGUACGGCCGCAAGGUUAAAACUCAAAGGAAUUGACGG
rnacentral:rRNA from 1 species